UGGAAAGGGAGGGAAGGAACUCAGGGGGUUUAGGGACAAGGAAAAGACAGCCUAGCCUGGGGGAACACCUGCGGGCUCCUGAGGCCUGGUAGAUGGAUUUAGAAGGACACAAAAGGGUCACUGGGCAGCUUUGCAGAGAGCUCAGCGUGGUGCUUGUCACUCCUCGUUUAUGUGGUUGCUCCAUUUACAUUCCCCCAGUGGUCCAGGCAGCUGCAGAGGCUGCUGGGUCUCUCUCACUGCUCGGGAACAAGGUGAAGUCAAAUGGAAAAGCUCUGAAGGAGAGGAGCAGGACAGCUUGGUGCACCAGUGGAGUGCAGGAAGGAAAGGAAAGAGAAUGAGAAAGCUGAGAGAAAAAAAGUCAUCAAGGAGAAAAAAAUGGAGGAAAAGCUAAUACACAGAAAAGGAGACAGACUCAAGAAAAAAGAAAAAGAAAAAGACAAAGAAACAGAGGGAAAAGGUAUCAUGCAUUUAAAAAGAUGGUGCUACAUGGUGUGUUGGAAGGCUAGUGACCUGUUAGGCACUUGGAAAAAUUUAUGCAGCUUCAAGGCUCAUCUCAAAAGCUAACUCUGAGGCCUUCUUGACCUUCCGAGCUGUGCCGGGUCUCUCCAUCCCCUGUGGGCUCAUUAGAACUUGGAUAUUCCUUUAAUGCAAACAACACAUGGAAAUAGAAUGGACAAUCAUUCCCAUUUAGUUGUCAGCUGUUCAAGGUCAAUACUUAUGCUCUGUUGAUCUCUCUAACCCUCUAGAUCUGGUGCCUGGCAUGCUGUAGCUACCAGUAAAUGAGGCAACAGUCUUCUGGAAGCUGCACUUCUAUUACACAUAUACUGAUGUUCACCAAGAAGAACACACCAAAAAGAUAAAUUUAGUUAACAUUGAGCCUGUGUAUAAAGAGACACACUGGAUAAAGGAUAUAAAUUUAGAUGUUAUAGCAUGGAGGAAGUAGGGGAGAGAGGAAAUGACGCUAAUUGAGCAACUAGUUUUUACCUGGUACAACACAAAGUCUUAAAUAUGUUAUCUAAUUCAGCCAUCAUCACAACCCCUGCAGGUAGGUAUUUAACUCCUUAGAUGGCUAUUGUAUUCUUUUCUCUACAGGCCCUAUUUUAGAUGAUAGACUCUGAUGGUGAACAAGAGAAGCAGAGAUCUCAUUGCUUGUUUAUACACAAUCUAGCAACUAUUCUACAGUUCAGACAGGACACGUGAAUUGACUGGCUUUACAUAGCUCCCAAAAAUUCACACACGAAUUGACUGGCUUUACAUAGCUCACAAAAUUGACUGACUUUACAUAGCUCACAAAAUCGACUAGGUUUACAUAGCUCAUUUAAGUCUGGCCUGUGUGGCUGUAAGGUCUACUCUCUUUAUGUAUUGUAGGUAACAUAUAUUCCAGAAGUAACCCAGGAAACUCUGAAAUUUUCAUUUUGCAACCAAGAAGGGCAUCCAGGAAAAGCUAGCAAUUCUGGAGCGUUCUGGGACCUCCAAAUAGUCUUUGGUGAUGUUUAACAGCCUCCGUAAUUUCAUCAGUUAGUGCUGGGUUCGGGAUGAGGCAUUACAUGGCGGAAGGCGAGGGAUGGUUCUCUGUCACUUUAAGUCCUAAAUUAUUUUCAGGUGUUUGUUUCGAGGCAGGACGGGGAGGCAGCCUGCCAUUUAGUGGAAAGGGUGGACAUGGCCUCCUUUAGACCUCUCAUCAGAGUUACUGUUUCGAGUAAUGAAGAAGCACGGGGAUUGAUUUGAUGCCUAAUGAAUAAUCAGCUGCCAUCAAUAAUUGUAAUCACUAAUCUGGUGCAAUUAGAGGCAAUUAUAAUAAAUGCAAUUUCCUCUCGUGCCACUAACGAACUACAGAAGUAUGAAUUGACUCAAGGGGGCUGGCAGUGAUUUAUGUGAUUGUGAGAUCAUGAAUCCCAUUAUCUUGGGAAAGACUCUUAAAGGGGCAGGGUCCUAUUCUGAUGUCACCGCUUCCUAAUGAGAAGCUAGAAAAUGCAAUUCUAGAGGUAAUGAGCACAGAGGCUACUGUAUUUCUCUCACAACUGGCUUUAGAUAAGGGCCUUGUGCAGAUUCAGCUGGGCUGCCAUGCAAAGGCCUGUUCCUUUAAGUUCUGUUUACUGUAGUGAUACACCUUUAAGUCUUGAAGAAUGAAGAUGAAAUAUUCCAAACUAUGCUGCACAAGAGGAUGUGAACAGAAACAUCUGGACGGAGAAGAUCUUUUUUAUAUUCAGCCAUGCCAAUUGACCUACUACCCUCUCCAUAGCCAAAGGAAUGCCCAAAUUUCCACAGAAAGGCAUUUUUAUAUGAAGAAGCUCAUCCCUGUGGACCUUUCUCUUGAAUGCCUACUAUGAGUCACUCAGCAAGAGAGGCACCCAGCUCCCUCAAGGUCUGCAGUGCCUCGGAGGUAUUCAUACUGAGCUUUCAUCCCCCAGGCCCACUUCCCUCCAUGACACAGUCUCUGAACAUAUUAUUCCUCACGGAUGAUCACCUUCUUAACUCCAUCCAGACGUGUGCCUCUGUCUCACUAUUUAGCGUUGUCCUAGAAAAUACUGAGUAAUUGUUUCAUGCGUAUACAUCAUGUUUCCUCAAGUAGAAUCUACCUUUAUACAAUCAAAAGUGUCAGAUUGAUGGAUGAGUAGCAGGUAAAUUUCUGAUAAAGAGAAUUAAAUUAAGUGUUAAUUGUAGAAUCUAGUGAUGGGUUUAUGGGUCUUAACUGUAAAAAUCUUUCAUCUUUUCUGUAUGUUUGAUAACUUUCAUAUAAAAAUAAUAAAAACUUUAGUUUAUCUUCUAUGUAAUUACAUGUUUACUUAAC
rnacentral:lncRNA from 1 species